rnacentral:rRNA from 1 species
UGGAGGCAGCAGUGAGGAAUAUUGGUCAAUGGGCGCAAGCCUGAACCAGCCAUGCCGCGUGCAGGAUGACGGUCCUAUGGAUUGUAAACUGCUUUUGUACGGGAAGAAACACUGAUUCGUGAAUCAGCUUGACGGUACCGUAAGAAUAAGGAUCGGCUAACUCCGUGCCAGCAGCCGCGGUAAUACGGAGGAUCCAAGCGUUAUCCGGAAUCAUUGGGUUUAAAGGGUCCGUAGGCGGUUUGGUAAGUCGGUGGUGAAAGCCCAUCGCUCAACGGUGGAACGGCCAUUGAUACUGCUAAACUUGAAUUAUUGGGAAGUAGCUAGAAUAUGUAGUGUAGCGGUGAAAUGCUUAGAGAUUACAUGGAAUACCAAUUGCGAAGGCAGGUUACUACCAAUUGAUUGACGCUGAUGGACGAAAGCGUGGGUAGCGAACAGGAUUAGAAACCCGGGUAGUCCG